rnacentral:misc_RNA from 1 species
GAUGAAGAACGUAGCGAAAUGCGAAAAGUAGUGUGAAUUGCAGAAUUCAGUGAAUCAUCGAAUCUUUGAACGCACAUUGCGCCCCUUGGUAUUCCAUGGGGCAUGCCUGUUCGAGCGUCAUUUGUACCUUCAAGCUCUGCUUGGUGUUGGGUGUUUGUCCCGCUUUUUGCGUGGACUCGCCUCAAAGCAAUUGGCAGCCGGCGUACUAGCCUGGGAGCGCAGCACAUUUUCGCAUCUCGACUGGAACGCUUGCGUCCAUUAAGCCUACACUUUUGCUCUUGACCUCGGAUCAGGUAGGGAUACCCGCUGAACUUAAGCAUAUCAAUAAGCGGAGGA